rnacentral:misc_RNA from 1 species
CUGUGUAAUUCUGACAUACACGUACUGUAUAGAAUAAAUGAAUGAGUUAUAGCACCGAUUUGCCUACAUCAUCUGAAGCCCAUUCGCCUGAAGCUUUAGUCACGUUUGUUCAAUCCGUACUUCCUCUCAUCGAUUUUGUAAGUGGAACUAUUGACUAAGCGCUUCCUAAUUGUGGCUAAUAUCGCAAUGAAUGAUCACCACAGCAAUAUACGUAUGCUCGCCACGAUUGGUUGAGAAGAAAUAUAGACUCUGUGAAUGUAAACAGCUGAUUGGCGAACGCUGUCCAUGUUGAUCUAUGAAAAAAUCGCAACGGAUCUAGGAGUCACAGUUAUGGCGACUCGGUAAUCCAUGGCUCUGUUCCCCUCAUUAGGAAACUGGACGUAGAAGGUAGGUACCUGUCUACCGGCCGGCUUGCCUGCUGCGAAACAUCCAGACGCCAAAGAGCUAGCUUCCACCCUGAAAUUAUUACAAGUAACUCUCCCUCAGAAAGCUUUUUCUUCUUUUCCUUUAUAAAAGAAGAACGAAGAACGUAAAAAAUCAUUCAUCAAAAUAAGAAUAACUAUUUUGUCAAAUAAAAUUAUGGUUUCCUAUAUUUCUGCAUCGUUCUUGUCUAUCAUAAUGGAAACCACAGAAAUUUCUUGGUUACCUAUUGUAAUGAUAGUGUCUACAUAGAAUGAAA